AGCUAGAGUGCGUGAGAGGUAAACGGAACUCCAUGUGUAGCGGUGAAAUGCGUAGAUAUAUGGAAGAACACCAGCGGCGAAGGCGGUUUACCAGCACGAUACUGACGCUCAGUCACGAAAGCGUGGGUAGCAAAUAGGAUUAGAUACCCUAGUAGUCCACGCCGUAAACGAUGAUGACUAACUAUUCCCGUGAGGGAGUGGUGAAGCUAACGCAUUAAGUCAUCCGCCUGGGGAGUACGGUCGCAAGACUGAAACUUAAAGGAAUUGACGGGACCCCGCACAAGUAGUGGAGCAUGUGGUUUAAUUCGACGCUACGCGGAAAACCUUACCAGGGCUUGACAUGGAGGCCAACAGCAUAGAGAUAUGCGGAUCUACGCCUCACACAGGUGGUGCAUGGUUGUCGUCAGCUCGUGUCGUGAGAUGUUGGGUUAAGUCCCGCAACGAGCGCAACCCUUGUCGUCAGUUACCAUCAUUAGGUUGGGGACUCUGACGAGACUGCCGAUGUAAAUCGGAGGAAGGUGGGGAUGACGUCAAAUCAGCAUGCCCUUUAUGUCCUGGGCUACACACGUGCUACAAUGGCCGGUACAGAGAGAAGCGAUAUCGCGAGAUGGAGCAAAUCCCACAAAGCCGGUCUCAGUUCAGACAGGAGUCUGCAAUUCGACUCCUCGAAGGCGGAAUUACUAGUAAUCGCGGAUCAGAAUGCCGCGGUGAAUACGUUCCCGGGGUUUGUACACACCGCCCGUCAAACCAUGAGAGGUGGCAAUGCUUGAAGCCGCUGCGCUAACCGUAAGGAGGCAGGCGUCUAGGGCAGGGCCGCUGAUUGGGGUUAAGUCGUAACAAGGUAUCCCUACGGGAACGUGGGGAUG
rnacentral:rRNA from 1 species